rnacentral:rRNA from 1 species
UACGGGGGGAGCAAGCGUUGUUCGGAUUUACUGGGCGUAAAGGGCGCGUAGGCGGCCACCGCAAGUCGGUUGUGAAAUCUCUGGGCUUAACCCAGAAAGGUCAACCGAUACUGCGGGGCUAGAGUGCAGAAGGGGCAACUGGAAUUCUCGGUGUAGCGGUGAAAUGCGUAGAUAUCGAGAGGAACACCUGCGGCGAAGGCGGGUUGCUGGGCUGACACUGACGCUGAAGUGCGAAAGCUAGGGGAGCGAACGGG